UUCGCCCAGAGGACGCAAUGGAGAAGUGCACUGGGGUCUUGAAACCAGUACUUGCUGGAUCCUGGCAUCUAGUCAUGACGUUGACCAGUAUACAAUGAGUGAGGCUGUAUUUUCUCCAUCCUGAAUGAGGAAGAGGCUGAAAAGCAGGAUGCUGAUCCUAAAUCCAUUAUGGUGGAGGGCCAACACUUGAAGACGGCUGACUGAUUUUGAUGAGGUUGUAGGGAUCAUAUUGGAAGAGUUGGAUGUGAAAUUAGAGUGAGGCUGUAUUUUCUCCAUCCUGAAUGAGGAAGAGGCUGAAAAGCAGGAAUGCUGCAACUAAACAGUUAUAGCGCAGGUAGUACUUCAACUGUUGUGCUACUUCGCAUGAGUGCCAUUAAGAGUUUGAAUGAAUUGGAUUUCCUUACGCUCCCGGAUCAAUGAGUUCGACAUGCGGCUAGACAUAGAGCAUUUCUUCCGCCCCUUCGUACCUACUACUUCAACUAGGACUCUCGUCCACCCUCUGACAACCCCUUCUCCCGCCUCCCAACACCCCCCAUCCACCUGGACACCCCGUGCUGGCCUCUUGCCGCCCUCGAUCUCUUCAUAUCCAACUGCCGCCACGACA